AAAUAACUACGAGUAAAAACUUAAAAUUUAAAAGACUUGACGGUACUUCACAUCAACCUAGAGGAGCCUGUCCAUAACCGAUAAUCCACGAUUAACCCAACCCCCUCUAGCCCACAGUCUAUAUACCGCCGUCGCCAGCCUACCUUGUGAAAGAAAGAAAGUAAACCAAAUAAUUCUACAUUAACACGACAGGUCGAGGUGUAACUAAUGAAGGGGAACAGAUGGGCUACAUUUUCUUAAAAGAACAUACGAAUGCAAUUACGAAAAGUAAUUACUGAAGGAGGAUUUAGCAGUAAGACAAGAACAAAAUACUUAACUGAAUCAUGCAAUGAAGUGCGU
rnacentral:rRNA from 1 species